rnacentral:rRNA from 1 species
CGAGAGUAAGCUAAUCUCUUAAAGCCGUUCUCAGUUCGGACUGUAGGCUGCAACUCGCCUACACGAAGUCGGAAUCGCUAGUAAUCGCGGAUCAGCAUGCCGCGGUGAAUACGUUCCCGGGCCUUGUACACACCGCCCGUCACACCAUGGGAGUUUGUAACGCCCAAAGUCGGUGGCCUAACCUUUAUGGGGGGAGCCGCCUAAGGCGGGACAGAUGACUGGGGUGAAGUCGUAACAAGGUACC